AAAUACCUUCGGGGCAGGGUGAAAUUCCCGACCGGCGGUGAUGACCCCCCGAUGGGGUCUCAGCCCGCGACUCCCUUUGCACAAGUUUGUUUUUUCGUUGUGCGUGCAGAGGGACUGACUUGGUGCAACUCCAAGGCCGACGGUACAGUCCGGAUGGAAGAAGGGUAAA
rnacentral:ncRNA from 1 species